rnacentral:rRNA from 1 species
GGGUUGUGAGGUUAAGCGACUAAGCGUACACGGUGGAUGCCCUGGCAGUCAGAGGCGAUGAAGGACGUGCUAAUCUGCGAUAAGCGUCGGUGAGGUGAUAUGAACCGUUAUAACCGGCGAUUUCCGAAUGGGGAAACCCAGUGUGUUUCGACACACUAUCAUUAACUGAAUCCAUAGGUUAAUGAGGCGAACCGGGGGAACUGAAACAUCUAAGUACCCCGAGGAAAAGAAAUCAACCGAGAUUCCCCCAGUAGCGGCGAGCGAACGGGGAGGAGCCCAGAGCCUGAAUCAGUGUGUGUGUUAGUGGAAGCGUCUGGAAAGGCGUGCGAUACAGGGUGACAGCCCCGUACACAAAAAUGCACAUACUGUGAGCUCGAUGAGUAGGGCGGGACACGUGGUAUCCUGUCUGAAUAUGGGGGGACCAUCCUCCAAGGCUAAAUACUCCUGACUGACCGAUAGUGAACCAGUACCGUGAGGGAAAGGCGAAAAGAACCCCGGCGAGGGGAGUGAAAAAGAACCUGAAACCGUGUACGUACAAGCAGUGGGAGCCUCUUAAUGGGGUGACUGCGUACCUUUUGUAUAAUGGGUCAGCGACUUAUAUUCUGUAGCAAGGUUAACCGAAUAGGGGAGCCGAAGGGAAACCGAGUCUUAACUGGGCGUUAAGUUGCAGGGUAUAGACCCGAAACCCGGUGAUCUAGCCAUGGGCAGGUUGAAGGUUGGGUAACACUAACUGGAGGACCGAACCGACUAAUGUUGAAAAAUUAGCGGAUGACUUGUGGCUGGGGGUGAAAGGCCAAUCAAACCGGGAGAUAGCUGGUUCUCCCCGAAAGCUAUUUAGGUAGCGCCUCGUGAAUUCAUCUCCGGGGGUAGAGCACUGUUUCGGCAAGGGGGUCAUCCCGACUUACCAACCCGAUGCAAACUGCGAAUACCGGAGAAUGUUAUCACGGGAGACACACGGCGGGUGCUAACGUCCGUCGUGAAGAGGGAAACAACCCAGACCGCCAGCUAAGGUCCCAAAGUCAUGGUUAAGUGGGAAACGAUGUGGGAAGGCCCAGACAGCCAGGAUGUUGGCUUAGAAGCAGCCAUCAUUUAAAGAAAGCGUAAUAGCUCACUGGUCGAGUCGGCCUGCGCGGAAGAUGUAACGGGGCUAAACCAUGCACCGAAGCUGCGGCAGCGACGCUUAUGCGUUGUUGGGUAGGGGAGCGUUCUGUAAGCCUGUGAAGGUGGCCUGUGAGGGUUGCUGGAGGUAUCAGAAGUGCGAAUGCUGACAUAAGUAACGAUAAAGCGGGUGAAAAGCCCGCUCGCCGGAAGACCAAGGGUUCCUGUCCAACGUUAAUCGGGGCAGGGUGAGUCGACCCCUAAGGCGAGGCCGAAAGGCGUAGUCGAUGGGAAACAGGUUAAUAUUCCUGUACUUGGUGUUACUGCGAAGGGGGGACGGAGAAGGCUAUGUUGGCCGGGCGACGGUUGUCCCGGUUUAAGCGUGUAGGCUGGUUUUCCAGGCAAAUCCGGAAAAUCAAGGCUGAGGCGUGAUGACGAGGCACUACGGUGCUGAAGCGACAAAUGCCCUGCUUCCAGGAAAAGCCUCUAAGCAUCAGGUAACAUCAAAUCGUACCCCAAACCGACACAGGUGGUCAGGUAGAGAAUACCAAGGCGCUUGAGAGAACUCGGGUGAAGGAACUAGGCAAAAUGGUGCCGUAACUUCGGGAGAAGGCACGCUGAUAUGUAGGUGAAGCGACUUGCUCGUGGAGCUGAAAUCAGUCGAAGAUACCAGCUGGCUGCAACUGUUUAUUAAAAACACAGCACUGUGCAAACACGAAAGUGGACGUAUACGGUGUGACGCCUGCCCGGUGCCGGAAGGUUAAUUGAUGGGGUUAGCGGCAACGCGAAGCUCUUGAUCGAAGCCCCGGUAAACGGCGGCCGUAACUAUAACGGUCCUAAGGUAGCGAAAUUCCUUGUCGGGUAAGUUCCGACCUGCACGAAUGGCGUAAUGAUGGCCAGGCUGUCUCCACCCGAGACUCAGUGAAAUUGAACUCGCUGUGAAGAUGCAGUGUACCCGCGGCAAGACGGAAAGACCCCGUGAACCUUUACUAUAGCUUGACACUGAACAUUGAGCCUUGAUGUGUAGGAUAGGUGGGAGGCUUUGAAGUGUGGACGCCAGUCUGCAUGGAGCCGACCUUGAAAUACCACCCUUUAAUGUUUGAUGUUCUAACGUUGGCCCGUAAUCCGGGUUGCGGACAGUGUCUGGUGGGUAGUUUGACUGGGGCGGUCUCCUCCUAAAGAGUAACGGAGGAGCACGAAGGUUGGCUAAUCCUGGUCGGACAUCAGGAGGUUAGUGCAAUGGCAUAAGCCAGCUUGACUGCGAGCGUGACGGCGCGAGCAGGUGCGAAAGCAGGUCAUAGUGAUCCGGUGGUUCUGAAUGGAAGGGCCAUCGCUCAACGGAUAAAAGGUACUCCGGGGAUAACAGGCUGAUACCGCCCAAGAGUUCAUAUCGACGGCGGUGUUUGGCACCUCGAUGUCGGCUCAUCACAUCCUGGGGCUGAAGUAGGUCCCAAGGGUAUGGCUGUUCGCCAUUUAAAGUGGUACGCGAGCUGGGUUUAGAACGUCGUGAGACAGUUCGGUCCCUAUCUGCCGUGGGCGCUGGAGAACUGAGGGGGGCUGCUCCUAGUACGAGAGGACCGGAGUGGACGCAUCACUGGUGUUCGGGUUGUCAUGCCAAUGGCACUGCCCGGUAGCUAAAUGCGGAAGAGAUAAGUGCUGAAAGCAUCUAAGCACGAAACUUGCCCCGAGAUGAGUUCUCCCUGAGACUUAGAGUCUCCUGAAGGAACGUUGAAGACGACGACGUUGAUAGGCCGGGUGUGUAAGCGCAGCGAUGCGUUGAGCUAACCGGUACUAAUGAACCGUGAGGCUUAACCUUACAACGCCGAAG